AGCAGCCGCGGUAAUUCCAGCUCCAAUAGCGUAUAUUAAAGUUGUUGCAGUUAAAAAGCUCGUAGUUGAAUUUCGGGAUCAAGUCGUCGGUCGUGCCUCGGUACGCACUGGUGACAUUGGUUUCUCCCUUCUGAAGAACCUUGAUGUCAUUAAUUUGGUGUCUUGGGGAAUCAGGACUGUUACUUUGAAAAAAUUAGAGUGUUUAAAGCAGGCUCACGCUUGAAUACAUUAGCAUGGAAUAAUGAAAUAGGACGUUUGAUUCUAUUUUGUUGGUUUCUAGGAUCGACGUAAUGAUUAAUAGGGAUAGUUGGGGGCAUUAGUAUUCAAUUGUCAGAGGUGAAAUUCUUGGAUUUAUUGAAGACUAACUACUGCGAAAGCAUUUGCCAAGGAUGUUUUCAUUAAUCAAGAACGAAAGUUAGGGGAUCGAAGACGAUCAGAUACCGUCGUAGUCUUAACCAUAAACUAUGCCGACUAGGGAUCGGAUGAUGUUAAUUUUUAUGUACUCAUUCGCGCCUUAAC
rnacentral:rRNA from 1 species